GGACCCAGAGACCUCCAGGCACUGAGGACUGCGUCUCCCGGAAGUAUUUCCCUGAGAAAUUGCAGAGGACCUCAGUCCUGCAACUCACACAGAGGCUGUUCUUCGUGGCCGGAACCGGACCCCACGCCCUCUGGGGCACAUCCCUGAGUGCGAGCACUCUUCUCUCGCCCUCCUCCCACCCAGGCACCGUCCCAACUGGGCACUGCCUUGCUAUGCCCCACAUCUCCCACAAGGGGGAGCCGCCGGAGGGCAGCUGGGGCUGCGGAAUUUUGGAAGCGCAGAAGUUUUCUCCUCCUGUCCUGUAACUGGUUUUCACUCACUCAACUGAGAGAUUUCUUUGUUGCAAUGAUGGGGUCUAAGAUAACACUUCUGGAGGCUGCAGGCGAGAAACACAGCUGAUAUCAUCUUUUAUUGUGUGUUGUUAUUUGCCUAGCAUUAUAAAUUAAGGAGGAAUAGUAACAAAGAGCUUGAAGACAUGCACAGCUCACAGGCCCCGGGUGGAGGCUGGCGACAUCAGACAGACAGAACCAAGACAUCUGAGGGGCAACCAGGAGGUGCGUGUGGCUGCAGAGCACACAGUUCCUUGAAAUGUCUUGGAUGAAAAUUGGGUUCUGCACACUGGAUCUGGCUGGUUGAUUCUGCCUGCGAAGACUGAAGUUGGCUUUGAUGCCUAUAGAUGCACUCACCCUUCGCUCGGGUUCCAGAGGCCAUGUGGUGUAUGGGGAAGGCAAUGUAGAUGGUGGGAAAAUCACUUGACUUCUCUUGCUCAUCUGUCAAAUGAAACUGUUACCAUCCUUCCUUCGUGCAUCCAAAUAUAGAUGUAAGGAGCACAUGUGAUUAUACUGCACACACCAACAGUUCCUGACUAUCCAAGUGCUGUAUAAUUAUAAGGUUUUAUAGUCAUUAUUCUGCUGCAUGUUUCUUACUAGUGAUUUACCCGUAUUGCACAAUUAAAAUUAUUUGAAAAGCUGUCUUUCCCCAGCUGU
ensembl:lncRNA MIR100HG mir-100-let-7a-2-mir-125b-1 cluster host gene